CCUACGGGUGGCAGCAGUGGGGAAUUUUGGACAAUGGGCGCAAGCCUGAUCCAGCUAUUCCGCGUGUGGGAAGACGGCCUUCGGGUUGUAAACCACUUUUGUAGAGAACGAAAAGUCUAUUGAUAAUACCGAUAGAUGAUGACGGUACUCUAAGAAUAAGCACCGGCUAACUACGUUCCAGCAGCCGCGGUAAUACGUAGGGUGCGAGCGUUAAUCGGAAUUACUGGGCGUAAAGGGUGUGCAGGCGGGUUUGCAAGAUGGAUGUGAAAGCCCCGGGCUUAACCUGGGAAAGCCAUACAUGACUGCAAGACUAGAGUGCGUCAGAGGGGGGUGGAAUUCCAAGUGUAGCAGUGAAAUGCGUAGAUAUUUGGAAGAACACCGAUGGCGAAGGCAGCCCCCUGGGACGCAACUGACGCUCAUACACGAAAGCGUGGGGAGCAAACAGGAUUAGAUACCCCAGUAGUC
rnacentral:rRNA from 1 species